AUUGAACGCUGGCGGCAGGCCUAACACAUGCAAGUCGAGCGAGCGGCGGACGGAUGAGUAAUGUAUGGGGACUGCCCGAUAGAGGGGGAUAACUACUGGAAACGGUGGCUAAUACCGCAUACUAUCGGAUAACCCAUAUGGGAUUAGCUAGUAGGUGGGGUAAAGGCUCACAUAGGCUACGAUCACUAGCUGGUCGGAGAGGAUGAUCAGCCACACUGGUACUGAUACACGGCCCAGCCUCCGACGGAGGCAGCAGUGGGGAAUAUUGCACAAUGGGCGCAAGCCUGAUGCAGCCAUGCCGCGUGUAUGAAGAAGGCCUUAGGGUUGUAAAGUACUUUCGGCGGGGAGGCGUUACCCGCAGAAUAAGCACCGGCUAACUCCGUGCCAGCCGCCGCGGUAAUUC
rnacentral:rRNA from 1 species